GUAGGGAAUAUUGGGCAAUGGAGGCAACUCUGACCCAGCCAUGCCGCGUGCAGGAUGACGGCCCUCUGGGUUGUAAACUGCUUUUAUACGGGAAGAAAAAAUACUACGUGUAGUAUACUGACGGUACCAUAAGAAUAAGGAUCGGCUAACUCCGUGCCAGCAGCCGCGGUAAUACGGAGGAUCCAAGCGUUGUCCGGAUUUAUUGGGUUUAAAGGGUGCGUAGGAGGAUCUUUAAGUCAGUGGUGAAAGCCUGCAGCUUAACUGUAGAAUUGCCAUUGAAACUGAAGAUCUUGAAUGUGGUUAAAGUAGGCGGAAUGUAUCAUGUAGCGGUGAAAUGCUUAGAUAUGAUACAGAACACCGAUAGCGAAGGCAGCUAGCUGAACCAUUAUUGACGCUGAGGCACGAAAGCGUGGGGAGCGAACAGGAUUAGAAACCCUAGUAGUCC
rnacentral:rRNA from 1 species